GACGAACGCUGGCGGCGUGCCUAAUACAUGCCAGUAGAACGCUGAAGCGAGGAGCUUGCUCUUCUUGGAUGAGUUGCGAACGGGUGAGUAACGCGUAGGUAACCUGCCUUGUAGCGGGGGAUAACUAUUGGAAACGAUAGCUAAUACCGCAUAACAAUGGAUGACACAUGUCAUUUAUUUGAAAGGGGCAAUUGCUCCACUACAAGAUGGACCUGCGUUGUAUUAGCUAGUAGGUGAGGUAACGGCUCACCUAGGCGACGAUACAUAGCCGACCUGAGAGGGUGAUCGGCCACACUGGGACUGAGACACGGCCCAGACUCCUACGGGAGGCAGCAGUAGGGAAUCUUCGGCAAUGGGGGCAACCCUGACCGAGCAACGCCGCGUGAGUGAAGAAGGUUUUCGGAUCGUAAAGCUCUGUUGUAAGUCAAGAACGAGUGUGAGAGUGGAAAGUUCACACUGUGACGGUAGCUUACCAGAAAGGGACGGCUAACUACGUG
rnacentral:rRNA from 1 species